rnacentral:rRNA from 1 species
UACGAAGGGGGCUAGCGUUGCUCGGAAUCACUGGGCGUAAAGGGUGCGUAGGCGGGUCUUUAAGUCAGAGGUGAAAUCCUGGAGCUCAACUCCAGAACUGCCUUUGAUACUGAGGAUCUUGAGUAUGACAGAGGUGAGUGGAACUGCGAGUGUAGAGGUGAAAUUCGUAGAUAUUCGCAAGAACACCAGUGGCGAAGGCGGCUCACUGGGUCAUUACUGACACUGAGGCACGAAAGCGUGGGGAGCAAACAGG